AGUGAACGCUGGCGGUAGGCCUAACACAUGCAAGUCGAACGGCAGCACAGUAAGAGCUUGCUCUUACGGGUGGCGAGUGGCGGACGGGUGAGGAAUACAUCGGAAUCUACUUUUUCGUGGGGGAUAACGUAGGGAAACUUACGCUAAUACCGCAUACGACCUACGGGUGAAAGCAGGGGAUCUUCGGACCUUGCGCGAUUGAAUGAGCCGAUGUCGGAUUAGCUAGUUGGCGGGGUAAAGGCCCACCAAGGCGACGAUCCGUAGCUGGUCUGAGAGGAUGAUCAGCCACACUGGAACUGAGACACGGUCCAGACUCCUACGGGAGGCAGCAGUGGGGAAUAUUGGACAAUGGGCGCAAGCCUGAUCCAGCCAUACCGCGUGGGUGAAGAAGGCCUUCGGGUUGUAAAGCCCUUUUGUUGGGAAAGAAAAGCAGCAGGUUAAUACCCCGCUGUUCUGACGGUACCCAAAGUAUAAGCACCGGCUAACUUCGUG
rnacentral:rRNA from 1 species